AACCUCUUUUCUCAAGGAAGAAGUUCUGACGGUACUUGAGGAAUCAGCAUCGGCUAACUCCGUGCCAGCAGCCGCGGUAAUACGGAGGAUGCAAGCGUUAUCCGGAAUGAUUGGGCGUAAAGCGUCCGUAGGUGGUGUUUCAAGUCUAUUGUCAAAGGAUGCGGCUUAACCGCAUAAAGGCAGUAGAAACUGAGAGACUAGAGUGCAUUCGGGGCAGGGGGAAUUCCUGGUGUAGCGGUGAAAUGCGUAGAGAUCAGGAAGAACACCGGUGGCGAAAGCGCCCUGCUAGGCUGCAACUGACACUGAGGGACGAAAGCUAGGGGAGCGAAUGGGAUUAGAUACCCCAGUAGUC
rnacentral:rRNA from 1 species